CUUCUGUUGCUGAUCUACUUCCAGUUACAUGGAUGUCUGUCUGUAUAUAAAGGGGGGGGGGCGUUGUUGCCACGAUAUUUUGCUCUAGAUGUAAAUUGUGAUAUUUUAAAAACUUAGACCUUUUUUUCUUCAUUAAAAGCAAAUUUUAUAAGUUACAAGUUCAAAGGUAAUUUUGUAAGUAUUUAAGAAUGGCCAUAGCACCAUGUAUCCUGUUGAGCUCGAUCAUGUGCCCUCAGAGGAGCCACGCAGUGUACCACCACUACACACUGGGCACCAUUUAGUUGCUGGGUGCCUUAUCUCAUUUAAUAUCUCUGAAAGAGCUUUAGGAGAGAGACACUCUGAUGAUUCUCAGUGGACAGAAUAAAACUGAUUGGUAGACAGGUUAAGUAACUUGCUCCAGAUUAUACAGCCAGUAUGAUAUGGAGGCACAGCCCCCAUUCUUUACCACUAGGCUAAGAGUUUUUGUUUAUAGCAUCACCAUUCAUAUUGGAUAUAUAUGUAUGUAAAAGCAGAUAUACAUAGAUUAAUUGAAAACUUCUGAAAGUUAAUCUAUAAGAUACAGUUUUGCAUUUUAUUUUAUUUAAAAAAAUUUUUUUUGGUUUUGCUUUUUAGGGCUACACCCAAUGGCAUAUGGAGGUUCCCAGGCUAGGGGUAGAAUCAGAGCUGCAGUUGCCGGCCUGUGCCACAGCCACAGCAAUAUAGGAUCCGAGCCUCAUCUGCGACCUACAUACACCACAGCUCACAGCAAUGCCAGGUCCUUAACCCACUGAGUAAGGCCAGGGAUGGAACGCGUAACCUCAUGGCUCCUAGUCGGAUUCGUUUCCUCUGCGCCACAACGGGAACUCCACAGUUUUGCAUUUUAGUCAGCGCUUGCUUUAAUCUUCUAUUUUAAAGUCUUAAAUGAAACUGUACAAAAUAAGGCUUUAUUAAUUAUUCCAGAGAAUAUAAAGUAUGUUUAUUUAUCUUCUGUCUUAGACAUUCGUUACAGGAAUACUUUUUUAACGUCACUGAUUUCCCUUUUUUAUUUGGAAAAUGAGAUAAAUGAUGUUAAUUUAAAUGUAUUUAACCAUGAAUCUCAUAAUAAUCACAUCAGAAAAUUUAUAUUGAUAAAUAUAUUAAUCAUUUAAUAACACCCUUUUUCAAGAUAACAAAAUGUGUUAGUUAUCUGAACUUGCUUUUUUUUUUUAAUUAGGAAAUCUUAAGGUAUCAGGGAUAAAAUUUGAUUUGACCCAUGAAUAAUAAGCAUAUGUUAUUCUUAUAAGAACUUUGAAGUGAUGUGUACUUGGGGUCAGCCCACUCUUUGUCCAGGUAUAUUCUUAAAACAAUACAAAAAAUAACUGCAUUGUAAAAUUUAGGUCAACUUCAGUCCAGUGGCUCCCUACAUAACCUACGUUGUAGUGGUGUUGAUGCAGUACAUUAACAGUUUUUGGUUGACAUUUGUAUUGUCUUUGGACAGAAUUAUGGCAUGAUUUGAAGCAUUAAUUAUUUUCAUAAAACCAUUGCAAAUUAUUUUAAGAGGCUGAGAUAAUGAUUCUGUAAUAAUUAUCCACUUAUAUUUCAGUUAGUGUCUCCUAUUUUAGAUAAGUAGAACAUAUAAAUCUAUUGUUUCAUGUCUAAAUUACUUUUUCAAAUAAUACCCAAAUAAUAAAAAUAAUUCAUAAUUACGUUUUAGUAGAUAAACAUUAUUUGAAACAUCAGUUUUUAGUAUAUAGUUUGUCAACUCUUUUUGGUGAAGUUAUUUAGUGAUUUAAAUGUGUAUCGCUGUAGUAUAUAAUGGGAUGUUUCUAUACAAUGGAAUGACAGUCCUUUCAAAACUGUUAUAAGGUGAAUUUUUGAAACUGGAUUAUAAACUACAUUGCCAACAGUGAAUAAGUGGUGCUAAAGCCCUGUCAGACAAAAUGACCCUAGAUGUUAGUAAUGAAUACAUUUAGAGAAGUAUAAAUUCACUUUAAAUCCUUUGUACCUAUAGGUUACUUUGUUGAAAUCCAGUGAGGCAAAAGCCAGCUAUGCAGGUUCACCUAACACAGAACAUUAAAAGCUUCUAAUUCCUAAAGUUUAUCUCAAGCCUAACUCCUUUGGUUACAACUUUCUUUACUAUGUGUACCUUUAGUCUGUCAGUCAGGUUCUCUGAGAUACCAUCUGUACAAACAUCAGACAUAAUAGAAGGAAUUCAAGCAUGUGCAUAUUUCCAAGUGCAAGCAUCAACCCAGUUGCCCUCCUUGGCAAGAAUUCUUUUUUCCUUUUCUUUCUUUUUUUCCUUUGGCUGGGGUUGAUGAAGGGGAGGGUGGUUAUGUUAUAAUAAUACCACCCUAACUAGCCUCCAUUGUGCAUUUAUUCUACAGAUUUUAAGAGUUUGCUAAUUGAAGGUCCUUUCAGGCACUGUGAUACAUGCAGCGAUGAGUACAUUGUCACAGCCUUAAAUAGUUCAGCAUUUUCCUGUCCAAAUAGAUUUUUCCCUGUUCUUAGCAGAGAAUACAUCUUUGCUGAUGUGUAUCCAUCUUCUAUUGAAUGAGAAAUUAAACAGAUGUCCCUACUGAUUUAGCUAUGAAAAUGUUAGUAUAAUAAUUUGGUUAAGUUUUGUCCAAUCUAUAUGAUGUUAAACAUACUUGAUACUGUUUAAUGCUUUUAAAAUAUUCAUUGUAUGUCUUUCAAACUACUUUGAAUACCCAAUAUCUCUAGCAUGCAUUUUGAUAUUUUAUCAUAUUCAUUUUAAUAUACGUAUUUCUAGAUAGUGAGCUUUUGGAGGAUAAUAUUGGUAGUCCUUGUUUCUCUGUCUCAGUCUGAUAUGUAACGUGAUGUAUAUCUGUGGAACGGAUGGAUAUUAUACCAUGUGUGUAAUCUUCAUAGGGCUAUCCAGGGACUGAAUGAAGUAUAGCACUAAUGUCUUUAAUUCCUCAUCAUACUGAUUCAGUCCUUUUAAACUUGGUAGGUGCUGGAUAGCCCCAUUAACUUAAACUGCAAGAGGUAGCAAAGAAUAAUCUUUGUAAUCUACUUAAUGUCUGUGGUGCCAAAAUUGAGAUUGAAUUAAUGUUGUAAUUUCAAAUCCUUGAAUAAAGCAAAAUCCUUUCUGUCCUACAAAAUUUACAUCAUUUCCCACUUAUUUUUACCAUCCUCUUAAUUGAUUCAUUUCUCCUAUUCCUUUUUACUGGUAAAAAGAAAAAAGACAAUGGAAUACAGAUGUCUGCUUACAAUAUUCUUUUAGGGGAAUCUAGGGAAAAUGAAAAGUGAUAGCCUUUGGGAAAAAAAAUGUGCUUAAGAGAGGUAUUUUAGGGAAAAGAAACAAGUAUACUAUGUAGUAGUAUGGAGGGGGUAGUCCUGGAGUGUUGAAAGUUAGUCAUUGAAAUUUAUCCAUAUCUCUUAUUUUUUUCUUUUCCACUUCUGUCUUCUGUGAGAAAAGGAAAUAGAAUAGACUCAAACAUGUCCCUUUCUUUAUUGCUGCUUGUUAUUUCUGUGCCAGUAUGUGUAAUUGAAAGGCGACUGUGUAAAAGCUCCUUGAUUCCAUAAGUGGAAUUCCAGCUUCUCAUUGUAUCAUGAGUAUUUCAUAAAUCGCCUGAGCAAAUUCAGACAUGUUUGGCUGCUUAAGCUCCAGGCCUGUCUUACACGGAGAGAGGGGAGAGAGAAACCCUUGGAGUAAAGGGUUAUUGAACAUUGUUGGACACUAAGAGAAGUCUGAUACUCGGUGCAAGGAAUGUUAGAUUCUCGAGGACUGAGACUGGGUGCUUAGGAGAGGUCUUUAUACAAGUAUUUCCUGCUUCAUCACAGUGAUAGAGAAGAGUAAUUAUGAGGAACACAAGGGUUGAGGGUAUAAAGCUACAUGCAGGGUUAUCACUGGCAUGCCUUUCCUGAUCCCUUUAUUAUUUUUAGGAGCACUUUAGCUCUCUGUUGAACUCUUUCCUUGGCCACAAAACUCCAAAAUGGUAAAGGUCAUUUUAAGUAUACAUGACAGGUUUUUUUUUUUUUUUUUUUUUUUUCUGUAGUUUUUUUUUUUUUUUAAUGAGCUCCUAGAAAUCAAGGAUCUAAUUAAUUUCACUCAGAUUAGCAGUGAACAAAGCAUGCAAAAGUAACUGUUUUUAAGGUGUUUACUUUCCGUUUCAACGCAAGAGACAAAAAAAAUUUAAAGGAGUGGAUGUGUUGUGUGUGUGUGUGGAGAAAACUAAAGUAGGGUAGGGAAAUAAGGAAAUAGGAAGUGUAUGCUGAGAGGGAGAAAGGGGAGUUUGCAGUGCAGUUAUAAGGGAUAAUUAGAGAAGACCUCACUAGAAAGAUGAGCCAAGAGCUAAAGAUAAGCCACUUGAGGGAAAGAGAAUUCUGGAUGAAAAGACCCUGGUGCAGACUUGGUGAGGAGGGUGAGAGAGAGCCCGGUUAGAGAUGCUGAUGACUUGGAUCUGGGUGGCAUUAGUAUAGGUAGUAAAUGGAUCAGAAUUCUGGUUGAAGGCAGCUAAUAAGAUUUGCUGAUAGAUUUUAACUAUGUGGUGUGAACAAGGAGUCAAAGUUGGGCACCUGAGCCAACUAGAAGGUUAUGGUUGCAGUUAAUUAAGGUGAGGAACCCGAGGGUAGAGCAAGAAUGGAGAAAGAUGAAGAGCUUCAUUUUUGACAGACGAAGUUUGAGAUGCCUGUUAAACAUGCAAAUGAAAGUGUCAGAGCGGUGGAACAAAUCUGGAAUUGAGGGAUUAUUUCUGAGCCAGGGACAUACAUCUGGGACCCCUGAGUGGAUAGGUGAUAUUUACAGCCAUGAGACUGAAUGAGAUCAUCAAGGAAAUGAGUGCUGCUAGAGAAGAAAGAAGUCUGGGCACUCUAGCAUUUAGAAGCUGCCGAAAUGAAGAAUCGGCCAAGGAAUCCAGGAAAGAAGCAAUCAGAGAAGUAAAAGGAAAACCCCAGAAAGAGCAAAGGGACCUGAAAAGGAAGUGAAGUGUUUCAUGGAAUUGGGAAUAGUCUACAGCUUUGAGGAGCCGAUGAGUCAACUAAGAUGUGGGACUGAAAUGGCAAUUCUGUUCAGCAACCAAUAGUUGGUGGUCAUUGUUAGCUUCUACAGGCAGUUUUGUUGGGAGUCAUGAAAUCAAAAGCUCUGUUGGAGUAGGUACCAAAGCUAAUGGAGAAGAAUAUAGACUUCUGACAAUUUUGCGAUAGAGAAAUGGGGAGUAGUUGGACUUCUGUUUUUGUUUUGUUGUUUGUUUUUUUUUAAGAUGUGGGAAAAUUACAUUGUAUGUUGAUGGGAAAGAUAAACAGGGAGAAAUGGAUGAGUAAGGCAGAGAAGGAGUGUCCUAGAGAAAAAUUAACUUGCUGCACUGUUUACUGAGGGUGAUUCCAAAACUCUCUGAGCUUCCCUUGAACUUUUCUCUCUCUUCCCGACUAGACUGGAAGAUCUUGGGAAACAUAGAAUCCCCACUUGAAGCAGUAUUGGCCUUCACCAAACACUUGAACUCUCCUAGUCAGGCAGAAGGAGAUGCAAUCUAGCACACAAGUGAAGUGGUUGUCCUCUGCUGACAAUUUGACAUCUCAUCCUAUCCAUAGUGAACAGGAGAACAAGCAGAGGAUGAGGGGAUGGUCCAGGCUGGAGGGUAGAUGGAGAGUGGGAAGUGCUCGUGUGGCUUCUACUGCACCUUAGAAUAGGAAGUGAUUACUGGCUGAAAGGGAGGAUGAGAGAACCAGAGCUCAUGUGUCGGCUUCCUCUGUGUUUGAGAGAGUGGUCGUUUAUGGUUGAGAGAAUAAAUGGUUAAGUGAAUUAUUUACCCAUUCACUUGUGCAGAGUGAUUGUGUAGAUGGGCCUUCGAUUUUGUAGUUGCAUAUUAAUAAUAAACAAGUAAUUAAAAUUCCCAUAGCAUUUGGGAUGGCUCUUUUGCAUCAAGUACGGUUAGCAAUUGUUGACUUGAAUCUUAAGCCCCUUAGCAUUCUUUCCUUCGAGUGAUUUUCUUUGAUGUUGAAGACUCUACCAUGACACCAAUUUUAACUAGAUUUAAGAGUUUAAAUCAAUAAAUUUAAGUAUUCAUUGUUAACUAAUACUGCCCUAAAUGCUAGAAAUGGAAGAAACGUUUCCCAAAGAGCUCAUCAUAAUCUAGUCCAAAAAGGAGAUGUCUUAGGUAAGCACAGAGAGCUUUCAGGAAAAUGGCUUAUCAGAAAGCUUUCUUGGAGUUCCCACUGUGGCCCAGUGGAAUAGGAAUCUGAUUGCAGUGGCUUGGGUGGUUAUGGAGGGGCAGUUUUGAUCCUUGGCCCAGGAACUGCCAUAUGCUUCGGGUGCAGCCAUUAAAAAAUUCAAAAAGAGAAAAUCUCUUCUUGCCCAUUCAGAUGAUUCUAGAAAACAGAACAGUGUUUAUCCCAGGUCUGCUUUGUGGACAUGGUGAUGCCAACUCCUUUUUCCCUGACUUCUACCCCUAGUUCUGUGGUAAGACACUCCCAGUUCCAGGCCUUCCAUCCCCUUUACUCAGGAAGGAGGGAAUUUGAAGGGCAAGUUUCUUUUCCAGAGACCCCAUGGGGCAGUGAGCUAAUGACCAGAGCUCUUUCUUACCUUCUACAAUGUUUCCCUUCCCCAGAUACUGUCCUGACUUCUGCUUCCCAAGGUUCAUACCUGAGAAGUGGGUCAUCUUUUAGCUUAUUUUCUAUGAAAACCUAGUCAGAGACAGACCCAAAUCAUAAUUGGCUCAACCACUUAAUUUUGCUUAGAGAAUCAAGGGUUGACAGAUACUUGGUUAACCUUUGUCCCUGGUUGAGUCUUGCUAAACAGUACUGACCUGGUGUAAUAAUUGCACAUUUAAACCCAACUAUUCUGGAGUUCCCGUAGUGGCUCAGUGGUUAACGAAUCCGAUUAGGAACCAUGAGGUUGCAGGUUUGAUCCCUGGCCUUGCUCAGUGGGUUAAGGAUCCGGUGUUGCCAUGAGCUGUGGUGUAGGUUACAGAUGCGGCUCAGAUCCCGUGUUGCUGUGGAUCUGGCGUAGGCCAGCCAGCUACAGCUCUGAUUCGACCCCUGGCCUGGGAACCUCCAUAUGCCAUGGGAGUGGCCCUAGAAAAGGCAAAAAAGACAACAACAACAAAAAAACCCAACUAUUCUAAUUAUCUUAAUUUAAAUAGGGUUGACUCCUUUUUGUUAGUUUAAAUUAAUCAAAACAGUGGUCUUUAGAAUAUCUGCAUUAUACAGGCUGAUAGUUGCUGUAUUUUUAUCUUUUUUCUGAAGGACAUUAUGUUUUGAUUCUAUUCUCUCUUUUCCAGUCCUAGGUCUAAUUCAGAAGCCUUUUAAGUUGUCCUCUUGUCCAUACAAAGGACUCUGACCUAUUCUUGCUGCUACUAUCACAUUGAACUUCCCAGAGUAAGCACAUUCCCUGCUCAGAAGCUUGAGUGCUGGCCCACUGUCUUCAGAAUAAAGUUCAAACUCCUUUAGAAGCCCAGCUUUCUGUCAUGACAUCAUUAUGCUCCCAUGAGGAAGCAACAUCUAUUUCAGUAGUAGGUUCAGAUGUACUUGUUUUUGGUAAAAAAUACCAGUCAUUCUUGCCAAUGGCAGCAGUUCCAUCUAUCACUUAAAAAUAUUUUCUCAGAGAAAUAGCAAUAGUGACUCAUUGAGAAAACUUCCUUAAUCUUCUGACUUUCUUCAAGGGUUUCUGCUCAUAGGACUACAAUUCUUUGAUGCUCUGACAUUUUUAUAAUUUCUUUUACUACUAACAGUUCAAAGUAUUGAUGCAUGUAACCUUGUUGCUGGCUGUGUUAAGUUUCAAGCAUCAGAAAAUGGAUUGCUUAAGAUAGUUUGCUAGGCAUACCAGUAUUUGAAAUCUGAAUUGAUAUACUUGGUGCUUCAAGACAGAUGGUGCAUUGCUUCUGUGCCGAAGAGCAUUUGGCAGUGCUGAAAUUAAGCCUUCUGUUCAGUCCAGAAUAGUUCAGUGAUGAGUGGGCAACUUUGUACAUUUUUUUUUAAUCUUGCUGAAUUUGAGUAUUUGGAAAUGUUUUAGCUUACAUAUUAACUAUAUGUAGGCACCUUCAUAGAAUGUCAUUACAAGUGUAGGCAAGUACAUAAUCACUGGAUAAGCACUGUAGAUCAGUUUGGCAUAUGGCACCACUUGUUUGUAUUUUCAUCAUAGUGAUAUGUUUCUAGUAGGAUUAACAAGUAUUCGGUCACGUUUAAACAUGGGCACAAAACUUCCCGUGUUUAAACUGUUAGCUAGGCUAAUGCUGGAAGGGUUUUCAGUGUCAUUGAAGUGAGUCUGAAGGAGCAGAGGUUUUUAAGUCUCAUGUUGAUCAUCUCUCCUCAGUUUCAUUUUAAUCCCCUGAUUAACACCUCUCUUCCUACAAUAGCAUUUCCUUAUCUAAGCCCUGGCUGGAAGAUGACAAUGAAUAGCAUCUCUAAAGCCCUGAUUUUAUUAAAAUUAGAAAUUGUUUUGUAUUCUUUUUGACUUGCAGCUUGUUAAAACUUUCUUAGUGAUUAGCCAGAAAUGUAUUUUCUCUCCAUGUGUUUUCAAAGUAGGAUUUAUGUAAUUCUGUGGUUAUCAUUAGGGGAAGAAGAGGUGUUAGGAUGCCAAAAGCCCACAACGUGAGAACUCCAGUGGGGACGUGUGAAGAUAAACAGCAAAAGCACCAUCAUCCUGCAGUUGGUUGUGGGUUAUGUUGGUGAAGGAUGUUGGUGGUUGAUUUCAGAGAGGGUACUGCAAUGUGGAGAAAACGUCCAUCCUGUUUAAGCUUUGAGAAAAGGUUUACUCCUGUGACCUGGGGUCAAAAUAUUGUAUUGCCUGCUUUUAUAAUGCUGGAAGGAUAAAGAGAUCAAUAAAAAGUUUGCU
rnacentral:lncRNA from 1 species